CCAAUAGCGUAUAUUAAAGUUGUUGCAGUUAAAAAGCUCGUAGUUGAAUUUCGGGAUUAGUAUGUCGGUCGUGCUUCGGUACGUACUGUCAUUACUGGUUUCUCCCUUCUGAAGAACCAUGAUGUCAUUAAUUUGGUGUCUUGGGGAAUCAGGACUGUUACUUUGAAAAAAUUAGAGUGUUUAAAGCAGGCAUACGCUUGAAUACAUUAGCAUGGAAUAAUGAAAUAGGACGUUUGAUUCUAUUUUGUUGGUUUCUAGGAUCGACGUAAUGAUUAAUAGGGAUAGUUGGGGGCAUUAGUAUUCAAUUGUCAGAGGUGAAAUUCUUGGAUUUAUUGAAGACUAACUACUGCGAAAGCAUUUGCCAAGGAUGUUUUCAUUAAUCAAGAACGAAAGUUAGGGGAUCGAAGACGAUCAGAUACCGUCGUAGUCUUAACCAUAAACUAUGCCGACUAGGGAUCGGAUGAUGUUAAUUUUUUAAUGACUCAUUCGGCGCCUUACG
rnacentral:rRNA from 1 species